rnacentral:rRNA from 1 species
UACAGGGGGUGCAAACGUUGCUCGGAAUCAUUGGGCGUAAAGCGCACGUAGGCGGUUUGUUAUGUCGGAUGUGAAAGCCCUUGGCUCAACUGAGGAAGUGCAUCCGAAACUGGCAAGCUAGAGUACUAAAGAGGGUCGCGGAAUUCCCGGUGUAGAGGUGAAAUUCGUAGAUAUCAGGAGGAACACCGAUGGCGAAGGCAGGUCUCUGGGCAUUAACUGACGCUGAGGAGCGAAAAGCAUGGGGAGCGAACGAG